UAGCAUAUCAAUAAGCGGAGGAAAAGAAACCAACAGGGAUUGCCCCAGUAACGGCGAGUGAAGCGGCAACAGCUCAAAUUUGAAAUCUGGCCCUCGGGUCCGAGUUGUAAUUUGUAGAGGAUGCUUUUGGCGAGGUGCCUUCCGAGUUCCCUGGAACGGGACGCCACAGAGGGUGAGAGCCCCGUAUGGUCGGACACCGAGCCUCUGUAAAGCUCCUUCGACGAGUCGAGUAGUUUGGGAAUGCUGCUCAAAAUGGGAGGUAUAUGUCUUCUAAAGCUAAAUAUUGGCCAGAGACCGAUAGCGCACAAGUAGAGUGAUCGAAAGAUGAAAAGCACUUUGAAAAGAGGGUUAAAAAGUACGUGAAAUUGUUGAAAGGGAAGCGCCUAUGACCAGACUUGGGCCCGGUGAAUCAUCCAGCGUUCUCGCUGGUGCACUUUGCCGGGCACAGGCCAGCAUCAGUUUGGCGCGGGGGAAAAAGGCUUCGGGAAUGUGGCUCCCUCGGGAGUGUUAUAGCCCGCUGCGUAAUACCCUGCGCCGGACUGAGGUACGCGCAUUGCAAGGAUGCUGGCGUAAUGGUCAUCAGCGACCCGUCUUGAAACACGGACCAAGGAGUCGUCUUCGUAUGCGAGUGUUCGGGUGUCAAACCCCUACGCGUAAUGAAAGUGAACGCAGGUGAGAGCUUCGGCGCAUCACCGACCGAUCCUGAUGUUCUCGGAUGGAUUUGAGUAAGAGCAUACGGGGCCGGACCCGAAAGAAGGUGAACUAUGCCUGUAUAGGGUGAAGCCAGAGGAAACUCUGGUGGAGGCUCGCAGCGGUUCUGACGUGCGAAUCGAUCGUCAAAUAUGGGCAUGGGGGGCGGAAAAGACUAAUCAAACCUUCUAGUAGCUGGUUUCCCCCA
rnacentral:rRNA from 1 species